AUAGUCGUUCAAUAGUACCGAUAUUUGUGUAGAAAAUGGAUUGUUAUCGUUAUGGAUACCGGUGUCAUGUGGUAGAAAAUGAAGGUAUACGCCCAGUAUGUGAUCUUUAGUACUGCUAAUGCAAAACAAAAUGACUUCUUACAAGUGUUAAAUAAAAAAAUAUUGCUAUAAUUUAUGAAACGCAAAAUAAGAAAUUAUCGACACUGAAGACUCUGAAAAUGAUCUUAACCAGAAAGAAUAAGAUGUUUAUAAUAGUGAAUAGGAGCAGUCCUAAAAUGAAGCAGAUUAAUAGUAAUAUAUUUUAUACCAUAUAAACCAUGUAUACCAUAUAAAUAUAAUAAAAAAGAUAAAACUUCGUUUCCCCAAAAAAUGUGUUUUUCCUACAAAUGGACGAUUUAUUUAUUGCUCUGAAAUUGGUUAAGAUGUUAAUGAAAAUUGAUGAGAUUCAAGAGGUUAUUGCUCGUUUUUUCCAUACAAUUAAGAAUAUAUUCAUUGUUAGUUACAAGUGGGUAAUGGUCUAAUUUAUUUAAAGCAACAAAUGGUAAUGGUAAUAGCAAUAACCACUGAGGUAGUUCAAAAUAAAAAUCAUUUGUGAAUUCUUCAUUAACACGUUGACGGGGAGAACGUCUAUAGACGUCUAAUUUCUAUUGAUGUAAUGUGACGCAACGUCUAUAGACGUUGCAUUUUUCCCUAUUAUAAUUUGCAUAAUACAUAUAGUAUCACAACACUUGCUUAUAUAUUGGACGCACUGUCCGUCAACGUGUUAAUUUGUGAUAAAAAUCUUUCUUUCGUUUUUUUUCCUAGGAGGCGCCGCUUUUAUGCAAAAAACAUCUUAAUGUGUAUUUUUCAUUUCUUUAAUACUUACUAAAAAACCAUCUAAUACAAUAACAUUCGACCAGAACUAUAUCAGAAAGAACUCCUAAUAAAAUUUGAAAUUGGCCCAAAGAUACAAAAAAUGUUCAAAAUGAC